rnacentral:rRNA from 1 species
CAGAUUGAACGCUGGCGGCAGGCCUAACACAUGCAAGUCGAGCGGAAACGAGUUAUCUGAACCUUCGGGGGACGAUAACGGCGUCGAGCGGCGGACGGGUGAGUAAUGCCUAGGAAAUUGCCCUGAUGUGGGGGAUAACCAUUGGAAACGAUGGCUAAUACCGCAUGAUGCCUACGGGCCAAAGAGGGGGACCUUCGGGCCUCUCGCGUCAGGAUAUGCCUAGGUGGGAUUAGCUAGUUGGUGAGGUAAGGGCUCACCAAGGCGACGAUCCCUAGCUGGUCUGAGAGGAUGAUCAGCCACACUGGAACUGAGACACGGUCCAGACUCCUACGGGAGGCAGCAGUGGGGAAUAUUGCACAAUGGGCGCAAGCCUGAUGCAGCCAUGCCGCGUGUGUGAAGAAGGCCUUCGGGUUGUAAAGCACUUUCAGUCGUGAGGAAGGAUUAGUUUUAUUAAUGGCCUGCAUUUUUGGACGUUGCCGACAAAAGAACCCCCGGAUAUCUUCCGUCCAAGCAGCCGCGGUAAUAGGGAGGGUGCGAGCGUUAAUCGGAAUUACUGGGCGUAAAGCGCAUGCAGGUGGUUUGUUAAGUCAGAUGUGAAAGCCCGGGGCUCAACCUCGGAAUAGCAUUUGAAACUGGCAGACUAGAGUACUGUAGAGGGGGGUAGAAUUUCAGGUGUAGCGGUGAAAUGCGUAGAGAUCUGAAGGAAUACCGGUGGCGAAGGCGGCCCCCUGGACAGAUACUGACACUCAGAUGCGAAAGCGUGGGGAGCAAACAGGAUUAGAUACCCUGGUAGUCCACGCCGUAAACGAUGUCUACUUGGAGGUUGUGGCCUUGAGCCGUGGCUUUCGGAGCUAACGCGUUAAGUAGACCGCCUGGGGAGUACGGUCGCAAGAUUAAAACUCAAAUGAAUUGACGGGGGCCCGCACAAGCGGUGGAGCAUGUGGUUUAAUUCGAUGCAACGCGAAGAACCUUACCUACUCUUGACAUCCAGAGAACUUUCCAGAGAUGGAUUGGUGCCUUCGGGAACUCUGAGACAGGUGCUGCAUGGCUGUCGUCAGCUCGUGUUGUGAAAUGUUGGGUUAAGUCCCGCAACGAGCGCAACCCUUAUCCUUGUUUGCCAGCGAGUAAUGUCGGGAACUCCAGGGAGACUGCCGGUGUAUAAACCGGAAGGAAGGUGGGGAAUCGACGUCAAGUCAUCAUGGCCCUUACGAGUAGGGCUACACACGUGCUACAAUGGCGCAUACAGAGGGCGGCCAACUUGCGAAAGUGAGCGAAUCCCAAAAAGUGCGUCGUAGUCCGGAUUGGAGUCUGCAACUCGACUCCAUGAAGUCGGAAUCGCUAGUAAUCGUGGAUCAGAAUGCCACGGUGAAUACGUUCCCGGGCCUUGUACACACCGCCCGUCACACCAUGGGAGUGGGCUGCAAAAGAAGUAGGUAGUUUAACCUUCGGGGGGACGCUUACCACUUUGUGGUUCAUGACUGGGGUG